rnacentral:rRNA from 1 species
UUCCCCUAGUAACGGCGAGUGAGCGGGAACAGCUCAAUUUGAAAGCUGGCCUUCUGGUCCGCAUUGUAAUUUGUAGAGGAUGCUUUUGGCGCGGUGCCUUCUGAGUUCCUUGGAACAGGACGCCUUAGAGGGUGAGAGCCCCGUACAGUUGGACACCUAGCCUUUGUAAAGCUCCUUCGACGAGUCGAGUAGUUUGGGAAUGCUGCUCUAAAUGGGAGGUAAAUUUCUUCUAAAGCUAAAUACCGGCCAGAGACCGAUAGCGCACAAGUAGAGUGAUCGAAAGAUGAAAAGCACUUUGAAAAGAGGGUUAAAUAGCACGUGAAAUUGUUGAAAGGGAAGCGCUUAUGACCAGACUUUUUCCUGGCGAAUCAUCCGGCGUUCUCGCCGGUGCACUUCGUCAGGUUUAGGCCAACAUCGAUUUCCGCCGGGGGAUAAAGGCUUCGGGAAUGUGACUCCCCACGGGGAGUGUUAUAGCCCGUUGCGUAAUACCCUGGCGGGGAUCGAGGUUCGCGCUUCGGCAAGGAUGUUGGCAUAAUGGUCAUCAGUGACCCGUCUUGAAACACGGACCAAGGAGUCGAACAUUUGUGCGAGUGUUUGGGUGUUAAACCCUCACGCGUAAUGAAAGUGAACGGAGGUGAGAGCCUUAGGGUGCAUCAUCGACCGAUCCUGAUGUCUUCGGAUGGAUUUGAGUAAGAGCAUAAAUGUUCGGACCCGAAAGAUGGUGAACUAUGCGUGGAUAGGGUGAAGCCAGAGGAAACUCUGGUGGAGGCUCGCAGCGGUUCUGACGUGCAAAUCGAUCGUCAAAUCUGCGCAUGGGGGCGAAAGACUAAUCGAA